GAUGAACGCUAGCUACAGGCCUAACACAUGCAAGUCGAGGGGCAUCGGGAGGGAAGCUUGCUUCCCUUGCCGGCGACCGGCGCACGGGUGAGUAACGCGUAUCGAACCUGCCUCAUACCCGGGGAUAGCCUUGCGAAAGUAAGAUUAAUACCCGAUGGUUUCCUUUUAUCUCCUGAUAGAGGGAAUAAAGAAAUUCGGUAUGGGAUGGCGAUGCGUCCGAUUAGCUAGUUGGCGGGGUAACGGCCCACCUAGUCUUCGAUGGAUAGGGGUUCUGAGAGGAAGGUCCCCCACAUUGGAACUGAGACACGGUCCAA
rnacentral:rRNA from 1 species